rnacentral:rRNA from 1 species
CCUACGGGAGGCAGCAGUGGGGGAUAUUGCACAAUGGUCGUAAGCCUGAUGCAGCGACGCAGCGUGCGGGAAGACGGUCUUCUGAUUGUAAACCUCUGUCUUUGGGGAAGAAAAUGACGGUACGCAAAGAGGAAUCUACGUCACACUACGUUCCAGCCGCCGCGGUUAACGGCAGGCAGCAAGGGUUGUCCGGAAUGACUGGGUGUAAGGGGAGCGUAGGCGGGAUGGCAAGUAGAAUGUUAAUGCCGUCGGCUCAACCGGUGGCUGCGUUGUGAACUGCCGUUCUUGAGUGAAGUAGAGGCAGGCGGAAUUCGUAGUGUAGCGGUGAAAUGCGUAGAUAUUACGAGGAACACCAGUGGCGAAGGCGGCCUGCUG